AACGAACGCUGGCGGCAUGCCUAACACAUGCAAGUCGAACGAGACCUUCGGGUCUAGUGGCGCACGGGUGCGUAACGCGUGGGAACCUGCCCUUAGGUUCGGAAUAACUCCCCGAAAGGGGUGCUAAUACCGGAUAAUGUCUUCGGACCAAAGAUUUAUCGCCUUUGGAUGGGCCCCCGUUGGAUUAGCUAGUUGGUAGGGUAAAAGCCUACCAAGGCGACGAUCCAUAGCUGGUUUGAGAGGAUGAUCAGCCACACUGGGACUGAGACACGGCCCAGACUCCUACGGGAGGCAGCAGUGGGGAAUAUUGGACAAUGGGCGAAAGCCUGAUCCAGCAAUGCCGCGUGAGUGAUGAAGGCCUUAGGGUUGUAAAGCUCUUUUACCCGGGAUGAUAAUGACAGUACCGGGAGAAUAAGCUCCGGCUAACUCCGUG
rnacentral:rRNA from 1 species